GCCGGGCGCGAAAAUGGCGGCGGCGGCGACGGCCGGGCGCUCCUGAAGCAGCAGUUAUGGAGCUUCCCUCAGGGCCGGGGCCGGAGCGGCUCUUUGACUCGCACCGGCUUCCGGGUGACUGCUUCCUACUGCUCGUGCUGCUGCUCUACGCGCCAGUCGGGUUCUGCCUCCUCGUCCUGCGCCUCUUUCUCGGGAUCCACGUCUUCCUGGUCAGCUGCGCGCUGCCAGACAGCGUCCUUCGCAGAUUCGUAGUGCGGACCAUGUGUGCGGUGCUAGGGCUCGUGGCCCGGCAGGAGGACUCCGGACUCCGGGAUCACAGUGUCAGGGUCCUCAUUUCCAACCAUGUGACACCUUUCGACCACAACAUAGUCAAUUUGCUUACCACCUGUAGCACCGUGAGUGAGAGCGAGGCCGAGAGCGCCACGGGGCGGUUCCCUGGGGCCCAGCUGAAGGCCCCCCUGUCCCCACUCGCGUUCCCCAUGGAGGAUACUGAGCCUUACCCCUAACCCCGAUCCUCUACCCAACAUGUCAGUUUUUUUUUUCAUUUUCCUCAAUAUUUUUCUUCUUGCUUUCUCUUCUCCUGGUUCCCAGCCUCUACUCAAUAGUCCCCCCAGCUUUGUGUGCUGGUCUCGGGGCUUCAUGGAGAUGAAUGGGCGGGGGGAGUUGGUGGAGUCACUCAAGAGAUUCUGUGCUUCCACGAGGCUUCCCCCCACUCCUCUGCUGCUAUUCCCUGAGGAAGAGGCCACCAAUGGCCGGGAGGGGCUCCUGCGCUUCAGUUCCUGGCCAUUUUCUAUCCAAGAUGUGGUACAACCUCUUACCCUGCAAGUUCAGAGACCCCUGGUCUCUGUGACGGUGUCAGAUGCCUCCUGGGUCUCAGAACUGCUGUGGUCACUUUUCGUCCCUUUCACGGUGUAUCAAGUAAGGUGGCUUCGUCCUGUUCAUCGCCAACUAGGGGAAGCGAAUGAGGAGUUUGCACUCCGUGUACAACAGCUGGUGGCCAAGGAAUUGGGCCAGACAGGGACACGGCUCACUCCAGCUGACAAAGCAGAGCACAUGAAGCGACAAAGACACCCCAGAUUGCGCCCCCAGUCAGCCCAGUCUUCUUUCCCUCCCUCCCCUGGUCCUUCUCCUGAUGUGCAACUGGCAACUCUGGCUCAGAGAGUCAAGGAAGUUUUGCCCCAUGUGCCAUUGGGUGUCAUCCAGAGAGACCUGGCCAAGACUGGCUGUGUAGACUUGACUAUCACUAAUCUGCUUGAGGGGGCCGUAGCUUUCAUGCCUGAAGACAUCACCAAGGGAACUCAGUCCCUACCCACAGCCUCUGCCUCCAAGGCAUUCGAUGCGUGUUUAAUGAUGAUGACUCCGCAAGCCCUCUGACAUUGUGAUCACCUCAGUUUCCCAGCUCUGGCCCGGUGACCCCUCAGCCAACAGCCCUAACAUUUGCCAAGUCUUCCUGGGCCCGGCAGGAGAGCCUGCAGGAGCGCAAGCAAGCACUAUAUGAAUACGCAAGAAGGAGAUUCACAGAGAGACGAGCCCAGGAGGCUGACUGAGCUCAAAGGAACAGGAUGGCACCCAGAGCCGCAGGACGGAGACUGGGGGCAGCCCUCACCCAACUCACAACAGGCUGGAUGGGUGGGUGGUAAAAAGGGAAGGAUGAGGCU
rnacentral:lncRNA from 1 species